rnacentral:sRNA from 1 species
UGAAUAAAGUAUAUAUUGUGCCGCUGGUAUUCUCC